AUACACUACGGUAGUAAUGAUUCCAUCCACUCAUCACCCUCACAUUUUUAAAAUCCAACUUAUUCUCCACUUUGAUUUUAAUAUACCUCCCUCAUCAUUUUGCCUCUUAUUCUAAAUAUUUUAUUACCCUCUUUUCUUCAACAACUUCCUUAUUCUCGACUUCUUUCCAUUCUCCCACCAACCUCUCCAGCUCCUACACUCAUUACAACCAUUUACUCUCCAGCUCAUGCACUCAUUAUAGCCAUUCACAAUUGCUGCCUAAGCCUUUUCGGGGCCUUUAUAACUGACUGCCUCUCUUCAGAAAAGACUGGCACCUCUUGAGUACUAAGCUCUUCCUUCUUCCUUAUUUUCUCCUUUCUCCUUCUUUUCUAUUCUGCUUCUUCUCUAUUCCUUUUUGUUACUCAAAACAGAGAGUGAGAUGAAAGAUAAGAGAUCGAGAGGGAGAGAUCCGGCCGAUUCGUGAAGCCCAAAACCCAGCAGUAACCCAGCCCAUAAUCCAUUCAACCCAAAGCCCACGAGCCAAACCUAGAACACUCAAGCCCAUUCAGCAAGCCCGAGAUCCAUAAGCCCGAGACCCAUCAACCCGGAACCCCGACCCGCCGGCGACCCGCCGCCGGCAGUUUCUCCGGCGACUUCUCCGGCGACUUUUCCGGCCACUUUUCCGGCGACUUUCCGGCCACUUUCCGGCUAUUUUCCCAGGCGACCAAACUCACCGUUUCGCUGGAUUUUCGAGUGGAAAUCCUUAAUAUGAUGAAUUGAGACAGCACAAAAAGGACUGUAAGUAUUUUUAUACUUACUGAGGGUAGCACUGGAUUUCAGUAAUGUUGUGUUUAUGUUUUAUUUUAAUUGGAUGCGUGUGACUGAUUAUUGCAUACUGUUAAUAAUCAACCUAUUAAUAUUGGGCGCGACGUCUCCCAAAGGUUCAUGAUAGAGUUGAACCGGAAACAAUAAUAAUCAUAUUGAUUGGAACGGCUUUCAAAGUACUAGAGGAGGGAGGUCUCCGAUAGUGCGAAAACAAGUUAAUUAAAAUGUAAUGUAGAGGGGACGGCCUCGAGAAACACGAUUAAACGGGGGGACGUGCCCUUACAAGAGAGGAGUGUAAUCACUAUAUAAACUGUUAAACUUUGCAUGAAAAACUAUCACCACAUCAUUAUGUCAUAUCUGUUCCUUAAAAUAACGCAUAAAUCAUGAUGUUGUUGAAAGACAGUUAGCUCACUCAUGGAACUAUGGGAUUGUGGCGGUAACCACCUUCUCAUAGAUGUUUGCGCAGGUACUGAAGAUUAUGGAAUGGAUUAACUGCUAGCUUAAGAGAUUUAUAGCUGUGUAGUUAGGAUUUUAGUACUUUGUACUCAUAGAUGUUUGUACUAUUUGCUUGUAAUAUGUCUAGACAUUUACUUGUAAUUAAUAAGUUCCAUGCAGGCUUUAGUGUCAUAUGUGACACAUGUUUCUUUGUAAAUAGUGUAAAGAUUUUUAAUGUAUUUUCUAGAAGAUGUCAGUUAAAGCUCUGAAUAUAUCGUAAGGGAGUUGUCCCUAUCGGUGAUGUUUAAAAAAAAAAGAUAUUCGUAUUUUUCCGCUGC